rnacentral:lncRNA from 1 species
UUAAUCAAAAGCCUAGAAUUUAUAUCCAUGUUUUUCUCUCUUAGCCAAUAGAAGUUAAGGAAAUAAGUUAAAAAAUAAAAAAAGAGUUAAAUAAAAUGGGUGGGAAAACUCCCCUCAUUUUUCUUUUGGCCGACAGCCCACGUCACCCUGGCUGACAACAACUUUCACUCAUGUCCAUCUCUCUCCUCCUCACACGCGUCCCCCCUAUACCUAGCCACUCACCACUCUCAACUGUGGACGCUCUCUCUUCUCUCUCACUUCUCUAAAAAGAUAAAACAAAAAAAAUCCCUUCUUCUUCCUUCACUCCCUCACGAAACCCUCACAGCGAAA